UACAGAGGGGCAAGCGUUGUUCGGAAUUACUGGGCGUAAAGGGCGCGUAGGCGGCCUUCUAAGUCGAACGUGAAAUCCCCGGGCUCAACCCGGGAACUGCGUCCGAUACUGGAAGGCUUGAAUCCGGGAGAGGGAUGCGGAAUUCCAGGUGUAGCGGUGAAAUGCGUAGGAUAUCUGGAGGAACACCGGUGGCGAAGGCGGCAUCCUGGACCGGCAUUGACGCUGAGGCGCGAAAGCCAGGGGAGCAAAGCGGGAUU
rnacentral:rRNA from 1 species